GAGUUUGAUCGUGGCUCAGGACGAACGCUGGCGGCGUGCUUAACACAUGCAAGUCGAACGGUAAGGCUCCAGCUUGCUGGGGUACACGAGUGGCGAACGGGUGAGUAACACGUGGGUGACCUGCCCUGCACUUCGGGGAUAAGCCUGGGAAACUGGGUCUAAUACCGGAUAGGACCGCACCGUGAGGGUGUGGUGGAAAGUUUUUUCGGUGUGGGAUGGGCCCGCGGCCUAUCAGCUUGUUGGUGGGGUAAUGGCCUACCAAGGCGGCGACGGGUAGCCGGCCUGAGAGGGUGGACGGCCACAUUGGGACUGAGACACGGCCCAGACUCCUACGGGAGGCAGCAGUGGGGAAUAUUGCACAAUGGGCGGAAGCCUGAUGCAGCGACGCCGCGUGGGGGAUGACGGCCUCGGUUGUAACGUACCUUUCUACCACUCGACGAA
rnacentral:rRNA from 1 species